rnacentral:tRNA from 1 species
GUCCAAGUAAUUUAACAAAAAUACUGGUCUUGUAAGCCAGCAAUGAAGGAAACCCCCUUCCUAGGACA